GGUUCUAUGGGGUAAUGGUUAGCAAUUCAGACUCUGACUCUGACAAUCUGAGUUCAAAUCUCAGUAGGACCU
rfam:Daphnia pulex DAPPTscaffold_1446_Cont12854, whole genome shotgun sequence.